GUCCACAUGUUCUAAUUGUUCAACACCCACCUAUGAGUGAUAACAUGUGGUGUUUGGAGACUGGGUACUUUUUAGUUAACAGAAUUUAUUUGGAUCAUGGUUCUGGAGGCUGGGAAGUCCAAGACUGAAAGGCCACAUCACAUCUGAUGAGGACCCUUUUGCUGUAUCAUAACAUGGCAGAAGGCAUUACAGAGGAGAGACAGAACAAGAGAGGGGUACAAACUCAUCCUUUAUAAGAAUUCCACUCCCACAAUAAUGAACCCACUUCCACAUUAAUCGAUUCAUGAGGGCAAAGCCCUCGUGACCUAAUCGUCUCUUAAACUUAAAGGCCCCAUCUAAACAAUGUUUCACUGGGGAUUAACUUUCCAGCACAUGAAAUCUGGGAGACACAUUUAAACCGUGGCAACAAGAAUAAUGGGUAACAUAAAUGAGGGCUAACUUUACAUACAGGGAGUCUAAGGCCUGGAAAAGAAAAUUUCAUGACACAAACCAUUGCUGCUUGCCUCAGCAGCCGAUGCCUCGGUUUGCAGUGAUACUAGAGAGUUCUGCACUUUUACUUCAGUUUGGAAGGAAGAAAAGGGAGACAAAUCUUUCAACUUUAAUGUGAAUUGAUGCACCAGGUAUUGUCUAUUGACACUCCACAACGUUCCCAUUCUUAUUCUCUUCCCUGGAUUUAAGAGGCUGGAGGCCUUGAGACAAUAUUUCUCAGACUCCCUUGCUAAUGCAAUGUCUCUGAACAAAAUUUGGAAGAGACAAGGGAGCUAGAAGCCAUACUUUUCCUCUAGCAGGAGGAGCAGUGUGAGUUUUCAUAGCACCCUGUUAAACUCCUUUCUAAGCUAAUCAUCUUAGGGCCAAUGAGGUACUCAUGCUAUCAGCAAUGUCUUUCUGCAGUUUUCUGACCGCUGGGUGACAGAAACAAUUUCCUGACCAUAGCAAUCCUGAAAGCUAGUUGUAACCCCUGAGCUAUGCUCAUCCAUGUUCUUUCUCCCUUCUAGGAAUGAUGAUGACAAGAGUGCCUUGGAAGCCAUUUUGAAGAAGGCAGAGAUGACAACACGCUGGGUUGUCAUCUGGGUCUACAGAAGCGGCGCUGCCUGUCAAUAUAGAAUACCCAUAGUUGAUUCUUAUGAACUCACACAGUUCAAAGAGUGGAAUGUUAUCAAGGCAUUGCCUGAUGGGUCUGUCACCACACUCACUGGAGGGAAUUAAUCUAGGAAGAGGCAGGUUCCAGGGACUAUCAGCAACAUACCAAACCACAGCGAGAUAUCAAGCAUGACUCAGCUCCUGCCCACUGCAAUUACUCAGGACCUCUGCCCUUCAGAUGUGGGAAAAAGCCCAGCAGUGUCUUGCAGUAACUGCUGCUCAGGUCAGGAACAUGACCUAGGAAGUCCUUUGCUAAGGGGAGGCUCAAACUGGAUUUCAGAAGGCCCACCCGACCAGGAUGACUGAAACAAACUGUGGACUGGGUACCAAUCCAAAGGAUAAUAUUGUAGCAUCAGGAAUAAAAUAAAUUUCAACUCAAUAAGAAGCCUAACU
rnacentral:lncRNA from 13 species